CGGAGGGAGUAGUUACAUGCUACUGUUGAUCGCAAUUUUAAGUUUAUUUCCCUUAGUAUUAAAGAUAUUUUUUCACAAUUUACUGUUAUGUGAAUCUUUUUUUUACAGUCCAUUUACUCUGUCCAUGUAUGCCAGUAUUUACUGUAUCCGGUAGUUGGUUUGUUUUGUUGCCAAUAUAGUGCAGUGUAAAUUUGGGUUUUGAGGACUGUAAGUCAGUAAUUGGUAAUGAUUAGAGUACUGAGAUAUCAGCCUCUGCUGUUUCUUUAGCCUAUGUUCUCUGAUCUUCUAGAUCAGAGCACCAUUUUCAUGUAAUUACAGUUCUUCUGCUCAUGUCUUGCAGUUUUCUGAAAAUUUAAAGUUUGUGUAAGUCUGAUAUGUACUAAGUAGCUUGUAAUCUGCACUAGUUGUACUCUAUAUCCACAUCAGCAAGAUCCAAGCACCCAUUUUAUGUAAUUAUAGUUCUGUUUGAUCACGACUUACUGUACCUAUCUUCUGGUUUUACAGUUUUCUAAAAAAAUUCAUUCCUUGCUAGCUCUAGUGUACUUAUGAUACAUAGUUGUUUGUAAUCUGUACUAGCUGAAGUCCUAUAUGACCUCAUUUUGCUGCCCCUUUUGAUGUUUUUGGCGAAAUCUUGUUGAUUUGUAGAGGGAAAGGCAAGGCCCCUGAAGUCCCAAUCCCUAUGAACAAUGCUGGAGGAGCGUAGACAAAGCAAAAUUGGGGGCGAGGGGUGUUUGCUGUGUUGCAUCCGCCAUUGUUCCUUCCAGGUGAAUGGAGCUUGUGUUGUUGGUAGAACUCCGUUGAUGGCUUCUUCCUAUGUUGAAGAGCAUGUUCCGUGGUAUCCAAGAGUAGUUAGCAUUACACUGGAAGAGCAUUUUAUUUGUCGAUCGCAAUAUUUGUGAUU
rnacentral:rRNA from 1 species